CCCGGAUUGGAUGCCCGAGCCCGCGGUGUAAUCUCUAAAGUCCCACACCAAGACAUUCGGUAUUGGAACUUCAUCAUAUGAAUUUCAGCCACUUGACGUUUCCACGUGUCACAGCUCUGACCUCAGCAACUGAAGUCAGAAAGAAGGCAAAGAUUGCAAGGCAGACAAAGCAAGGGUUGAGGCGGGUAGCAAACAGAAGCACAUUGUCAUGGCAAAUAUCUGCCUAGCGUGUAUGCAGAUCUAAGACCAUGGCCUAAAUCACACCAUACCAAGGUGAGGAGCUGGGCGGCAACUCACCAGAGCGGUUAAAGAGAGUGCCGGCCCUCCUCUUUAGGGCAGGCUUUUAGACCACCAGGACGAUCUGUUCUGCCCUUCAUGUCAAUGAGGAAAUAUGCCCAUCAGUGAGUCCCACUCUCCAGCACUUGAGCACACAGCAAACGCCAGCCACAUGGCCAGUGGACAUCCACAGCCCCCAUAAUCCAUCCCCCCACCCUGAGUUUUAAAGAUGUUCACAGCCUUUGCAUACUCUAGAACUUCACAGAAAUGAAAGUAAAAAUUUCCCACAAUCCUCUCACCUGUGUUUUUCUAAAAAGUAUGCAUUGACUCCUUUUCCCCCCUGUGAACACAGAAGAAACCACUGCCUGUGCACAUGUCAGUGUGCAGUGAUAAUCUUUCUAGAAAGUUCUGGCUUCCUGCCGCGGUCGCUUUACUCCAGG
rnacentral:lncRNA from 1 species